UACGUAGGGUGCAAGCGUUAAUCGGAAUUACUGGGCGUAAAGCGUGCGCAGGCGGUUUUGUAAGACAGGCGUGAAAUCCCCGGGCUCAACCUGGGAAUUGCGCUUGUGACUGCAAAGCUGGAGUGCGGCAGAGGGGGAUGGAAUUCCGCGUGUAGCAGUGAAAUGCGUAGAUAUGCGGAGGAACACCGAUGGCGAAGGCAAUCCCCUGGGCCGGCACUGACGCUCAUGCACGAAAGCGUGGGGAGCAAACAGG
rnacentral:rRNA from 1 species